rnacentral:rRNA from 1 species
AUGAACGCUGGCGGCGUGCCUAAUACAUGCAAGUCGAGCGAACGGACGAGAAGCUUGCUUCUCUGAUGUUAGCGGCGGACGGGUGAGUAACACGUGGAUAACCUACCUAUAAGACUGGGAUAACUUCGGGAAACCGGAGCUAAUACCGGAUAAUAUUUUGAACCGCAUGGUUCAAAAGUGAAAGACGGUCUUGCUGUCACUUAUAGAUGGAUCCGCGCUGCAUUAGCUAGUUGGUAAGGUAACGGCUUACCAAGGCAACGAUGCAUAGCCGACCUGAGAGGGUGAUCGGCCACACUGGAACUGAGACACGGUCCAGACUCCUACGGGAGGCAGCAGUAGGGAAUCUUCCGCAAUGGGCGAAAGCCUGACGGAGCAACGCCGCGUGAGUGAUGAAGGUCUUCGGAUCGUAAAACUCUGUUAUUAGGGAAGAACAUAUGUGUAAGUAACUGUGCACAUCUUGACGGUACCUAAUCAGAAAGCCACGGCUAACUACGUGCCAGCAGCCGCGGUAAUACGUAGGUGGCAAGCGUUAUCCGGAAUUAUUGGGCGUAAAGCGCGCGUAGGCGGUUUUUUAAGUCUGAUGUGAAAGCCCACGGCUCAACCGUGGAGGGUCAUUGGAAACUGGAAAACUUGAGUGCAGAAGAGGAAAGUGGAAUUCCAUGUGUAGCGGUGAAAUGCGCAGAGAUAUGGAGGAACACCAGUGGCGAAGGCGACUUUCUGGUCUGUAACUGACGCUGAUGUGCGAAAGCGUGGGGAUCAAACAGGAUUAGAUACCCUGGUAGUCCACGCCGUAAACGAUGAGUGCUAAGUGUUAGGGGGUUUCCGCCCCUUAGUGCUGCAGCUAACGCAUUAAGCACUCCGCCUGGGGAGUACGACCGCAAGGUUGAAACUCAAAGGAAUUGACGGGGACCCGCACAAGCGGUGGAGCAUGUGGUUUAAUUCGAAGCAACGCGAAGAACCUUACCAAAUCUUGACAUCCUUUGACAACUCUAGAGAUAGAGCCUUCCCCUUCGGGGGACAAAGUGACAGGUGGUGCAUGGUUGUCGUCAGCUCGUGUCGUGAGAUGUUGGGUUAAGUCCCGCAACGAGCGCAACCCUUAAGCUUAGUUGCCAUCAUUAAGUUGGGCACUCUAAGUUGACUGCCGGUGACAAACCGGAGGAAGGUGGGGAUGACGUCAAAUCAUCAUGCCCCUUAUGAUUUGGGCUACACACGUGCUACAAUGGACAAUACAAAGGGCAGCGAAACCGCGAGGUCAAGCAAAUCCCAUAAAGUUGUUCUCAGUUCGGAUUGUAGUCUGCAACUCGACUACAUGAAGCUGGAAUCGCUAGUAAUCGUAGAUCAGCAUGCUACGGUGAAUACGUUCCCGGGUCUUGUACACACCGCCCGUCACACCACGAGAGUUUGUAACACCCGAAGCCGGUGGAGUAACCUUUUAGGAGCUAGCCGUCGAAGGUGGGACAAAUGAUUGGGGUGAAGUCGUAACAAGGUAGCCGUAUCGGAAGGUGCGGCUGGAUCACCUCCUUUCU